UUCUCUUCUGCUCCCAGAAGCUUUAAGUUUCAGUUUCCAUUCAUCUCUAAUCAAAGUAGAUUUGGGGACUGUGGCUUUGAACAUCCUUCUGUAAAAGUUAGUACUGUUAAGAUUGGGAAAACGGAGACUUUGGGAUUCUUGAGGGAGUGACAGCCACAGACUUCCCAGGCCACUUUGAAAGCAGCCACCUAAAUGGACACACAGCUGUCUGCAGUUGUCUGACAGUGACCACCAUAUUCAAGAAUUAGAUAUCACCUCCCCGAAUCCAUCCAUGAGGCAACUGAAAAGCAAACUGGAAAAGAAAGAAAACUGUUAGUUUUAAUUUAAGAAAGGAAGAGCCAACGCCCCUUCUAAAUAUCCACUCGCCUUGGUAGAUUUAUGCUUCUCCUCUAAUGAAGAAAAAUAAAGAAAAUCAAAGUAUCCCCUUCAAUACAUUCCUUACUUUUAUAUCCACUCAAUUUUAAACAUUAAAGCUUCAGCCAUAAAAAUGAUGUUGACCUUUUGGAAGGAAUGCAUUCAUUGUGUAAGUACAAAGACCAUUCUGCUUGGCCUGUGAGCUCCCAGUGAAUUCUCUGGUCUCUGCUUCCUGACUUGCUGUAAGAGUGCUGAGAACUUACGUCCCACUUCGUUUGGGUUGUACAAGGGUUCUGAGGAACUAAACAUGGGUCAUGUUAAUGCCACCAGGCAAGAAUACGAGUUUGAGCCAAAUUUAAAGUAAGCUUGAUUUUAAUUAGGGUGUACCUGAGAGCUGACCAGUUGCCGCCUCCUAGGUAUUAUUAAAGAGAGCAAACC